AGGACGAACGCUGGCGGCGUGCUUAACACAUGCAAGUCGAACGGAAAGGCCCUGCUUUGUGGGGUGCUCGAGUGGCGAACGGGUGAGUAACACGUGAGUAACCUGCCCUUGACUUUGGGAUAACUUCAGGAAACUGGGGCUAAUACCGGAUAGGAGCUCCUGCUGCAUGGUGGGGGUUGGAAAGUUUCGGCGGUUGGGGAUGGACUCGCGGCUUAUCAGCUUGUUGGUGGGGUAGUGGCUUACCAAGGCUUUGACGGGUAGCCGGCCUGAGAGGGUGACCGGCCACAUUGGGACUGAGAUACGGCCCAGACUCCUACGGGAGGCAGCAGUGGGGAAUAUUGCACAAUGGGCGGAAGCCUGAUGCAAGCAACGCCGCGUGCGGGAUGACGGCCUUCGGGUUGUAAACCGCUUUCGCCUGUGACGAAGCGUGAGUGACGGUAAUGGGUAAAGAAGCACCGGCUAACUACGUGCCAGCCGCUGC
rnacentral:rRNA from 1 species